rnacentral:rRNA from 1 species
UACGUAGGGUGCGAGCGUUAAUCGGAAUUACUGGGCGUAAAGCGUGCGCAGGCGGUUCGUUAAGUUCGUUGUGAAAGCCCCGGGCUCAACCUGGGAACUGCAAUGGAAACUGGCGGGCUUGAGUGUGGCAGAGGGGGGUGGAAUUCCGCGUGUAGCAGUGAAAUGCGUAGAGAUGCGGAGGAACACCGAUGGCGAAGGCGGGUCUCUGGGCAACUACUGACGCUGAGGAGCGAAAGCGUGGGGAGCGAACAGG